AGCAGGGAAAACAAGGGUUUACCCUUGUUCUUGCAAAAAUUCACCAAUUGACAAGGAAAAAUCAAUGUUAAUCAGCUGCAUGUUUUAAAGUUUCGAUCAUCGAAGCAUACCUACUGAAGUGGCGUGAAGGAAGAAGGUUCAAAUUCCAAGAAAUCGGAAGGAUCACAAGACCGAGGUAAAUCCUCGGCUUAGGCGAUUGGACGGCUUGGAACGUGCACACUUGAUUCACGCCCGCCUCACGCUUCCGUCAUAAGUUAUUUUGAUAUGGGUUAAACUUUUGGUCAUAUGUAUUUAAACUUAUGUAGUAUGUCGAUGUCUGUGUCGUUGGGUCGAACUUAGUAGUUGUAGUCUUGUUAUAUACAAUGUAAA